rnacentral:misc_RNA from 1 species
AGCAGCCGCGGUAAUUCCAGCUCCAAUAGCGUAUAUUAAAGUUGUUGCAGUUAAAAAGCUCAUAGUUGAAUUUCGGAAUCAAUAUGCUGGUCGUGCCAUUGGUACGUACUAGUAUUAUUGGUUUCUCCCUUCUGAUGAAUCAUGAUGUCAUUAAUUUGAUGUCAUGGGGAAUCAGGACUGUUGCUUUGAAAAAUUAGAGUGUUUAAAAGCAGGCUCGCGCUUGAAUACAUUAGCAUGGAAUAAUGAAAUAGGACGUUUGAUUCUAUUUGUUGGUUUCUAGGAUUGACGUAAUGAUUAAUAGGGAUAGUUGGGGGCAUUAGUAUUCAAUUGUCAGAGGUGAAAUUCUUGGAUUUAUUGAAGACUAACUACUGCGAAAGCAUUUGCCAAGGAUGUUUUCAUUAAUCAAGAACGAAAGUUAGGGGAUCGAAGACGAUC